rnacentral:rRNA from 1 species
AAGCAGCAGGCACGCAAAUUACCCACUCCCGGCACGGGGAGGUAGUGACGAAAAAUAACGAUACGGGACUCAUCCGAGGCCCCGUAAUCGGAAUGAGCACACUUUAAAGACUUUAACGAGUAUCCAUUGGAGGGCAAGUCUGGUGCCAGCAGCCGCGGUAAUUCCAGCUCCAAUAGCGUAUAUUAAAGUUGCUGCGGUUAAAAAGCUCGUAGUUGGACUUGUGUCCCGCGCUGUCGGUUCACCGUUCGUCGGUGUCUAACUGGCAUGCCGCGCGGACGUCCUGCUGGUGGACGCGGUCGGCCGCGGGCCCCUGGCUCGCGCGUCGGCGGUCCGGUGCAAUCCUACCGCGGUGCUCUUCACCGAGUGUCGAGGUGGGCCAGCACGUUUACUUUGAACAAAUUAGAGUGCUUAAAGCAGGCAUGGAUUCGCCUGAAUACUGUGUGCAUGGAAUAAUGGAAUAGGACCUCGGUUCUAUUUCGUUGGUUUCUGGAACCCGAGGUAAUGAUUAAUAGGGACAGACGGGGGCAUUCGUAUUGCGACGUUAGAGGUGAAAUUCUUGGAUCGUCGCAAGACGAACCUAAGCGAAAGCAUUUGCCAUGGAUGUUUUCAUUAAUCAAGAACGAAAGUUAGAGGUUCGAAGGCGAUCAGAUACCGCCCUAGUUCUAACCAUAAACUAUGCCAGCCAGCGAUCCGCCGACGUUCCAACUAUGACUCGGCGGGCAGCCCCCGGGAAACCAAAGCUUUUGGGUUCCGGGGGAAGUAUGGUUGCAAAGCUGAAACUUAAAGGAAUUGACGGAAGGGCACCACCAGGAGUGGAGCCUGCGGCUUAAUUUGACUCAACACGGGAAACCUCACCAGGCCCGGACACCGGAAGGAUUGACAGAUUGAGAGCUCUUUCUUGAUUCGGUGGGUGGUGGUGCAUGGCCGUUCUUAGUUGGUGG